CAGAUUGUCUCUAUAAUAUCAUUUUCAUUUCUUCGCAGCUGAAAUUCCUUUCUUAUUAAUAUAAGACUGUUUCGGUAUUUGUAUUUAACUUUUUUACUCAUGUUGUACAAAAGUAAUUGAUGUGAUAAAAUUUCUAGUCUCACAGCAAAUAUGUCAUUGUAGUCGAUGGCACAGUGAAGAGACUUUAUCUAAAAUUAUCAUUUGCCUGGACCGAAUAACUCUAAAUCUUGCUUCUUUUAAAUGUAAUUGGCAUCAAAGAAUCAAGGUGAUUUUACAUGAGACUGCUUUUGAAUAUUUUAUUUUAACCAAUAAUUUUACUUAAGAGCAUUUUUAGCAUAGAUAUAUUGAUAUAGUCACUAUUUUUUUUAAAAAAUC